rnacentral:rRNA from 1 species
GACGAAGGUGGCAAGCGUUGUUCGGAAUCACUGGGCUUAAAGAGCACGUAGGCGGCUCGUCAAGCGUCUUGUGAAAGCCCUCGGCUCAACCGAGGAAUUGCAGGGCGAACUGACGGACUUGAGGCAGGUAGGGGCGAGUGGAACUCUUGGUGGAGCGGUGGAAUGCGUAGAUAUCAAGAGGAACGCCGGCGGCGAAGGCGACUCGCUGGGCCUGUCCUGACGCUGAGGUGCGAAAGCCAGGGGAGCGAACGGGAUUAGAUACCCCCGUA